AGCAGCCGCGGUAAUUCCAGCUCCAAUAGCGUAUAUUAAAGUUGUUGCAGUUAAAAAGCUCGUAGUUGAAUUUCGGGAUCAAUUUGCUGGUCGUGCCUCUGGUACGUACUGGUAUUAUUGGUUUCUCCCUUCUGACGAACCAUGAUGUCAUUAAUUUGAUGUCGUGGAGAAUCAGGACUGUUACUUUGAAAAAUUAGAGUGUUUAAAGCAGGCAUUAGCUUGAAUACAUUAGCAUGGAAUAAUGAAAUAGGACGUUUGAUCCUAUUUUGUUGGUUUCUAGGAUUGACGUAAUGAUUAAUAGGGAUAGUUGGGGGCAUUAGUAUUCAAUUGUCAGAGGUGAAAUUCUUGGAUUUAUUGAAGACUAACUACUGCGAAAGCAUUUGCCAAGGAUGUUUUCAUUAAUCAAGAACGAAAGUUAGGGGAUCGAAGACGAUCAGAUACCGUCGUAGUCUUAACCAUAAACUAUGACCGACUAGGGAUCGGAUGAUGUUAAUUUUAAUGACUCAUUC
rnacentral:misc_RNA from 1 species